rnacentral:rRNA from 1 species
UACCAGCACCCCGAGUUGUCGGGACGAUUAUUGGGCCUAAAGCAUCCGUAGCCUGUUCUGCAAGUCCUCCGUUAAAUCCACCUGCUUAACGGAUGGGCUGCGGAGGAUACCGCAGAGCUAGGAGGCGGGAGAGGCAAACGGUACUCAGUGGGUAGGGGUAAAAUCCAUUGAUCUACUGAAGACCACCAGUGGCGAAGGCGGCCUUCUGGACAGUGACUGACGCUGAGACGCGAAAGCGUGGGGAGCAAACAGG